UUUACUUAUAUUCUUCAUGUACCCAAAUUGUUCGUCCUGCUGAUGUUAAGGAUUUGAUAAAUGGAAUCAUGGAUGAACUGGUUCUCAAUGAAAAGAAGCUGGAACUAUACUACUUGAAUGCAUUACGUGAAACUAAAUUGCAUCAAAUGACAAGAAAGCCUCAAACUAAUCUAUUAAGGCAAAUCAGUAGCUCUUUGGUUGACGAAUCCUCUGUACUGGGUCGGGCAGAUGAUCUAGGUUGUAUAAAAGAUUUUCUGUUGUCGGGUCAAUAUGAUCAAAGAGAGGUUCCUGUUACUUGCAUUGUUGGCAUGGCAGGAAUGGGUAAGACCACACUUGCCCAGCUUGCUUACAAUGAUCCACAACUUAAAGAACAUUUCGAUGUUAAAUUAUGGGUCUGUGUUCCUGAAGAUUUUGAUGUUGGUAGGUUAACUAGUGCAAUUCUAGAAAUACAGACGAGGAAAGCAUGUGAUCUCAAUGAAUUGGAGUCACUCCAAUGUGAACUUCAAGAUAGACUAGAUGGGAAAAGAUUUUUACUCGUUUUGGAUGAUGUUUGGAGUGUGAACCGCAGCAAAUGGGAAUCCUUACGAGUUCCAUUUAGAGUCUCAAAGAUGGGAAGCAGAAUUUUGGUAACCAGUCGGAGCCAAAGGGUUUCAACCAUCAUGGGGGCUGCCAAAACUCUUACCUUGCAAAGUUUAUCAGAUGAAGAUUGCUGGUUGUUAUUCAAGAAAUGGGCAUUUAGUGAUGAAAACUGCAACACACAUCUAAACUUGAUAGAAAUUGGUGAGAAAAUUAUUAAGAAAUGUAAUGGGUUGCCUUUGGCAUUGAAGUCAUUAGGAGGCCUUUUGCGUGACAAGAUCGAUGAAAAGGAGUGGGAGUUCAUCCUUAAAAGUGACUUAUGGGACUUGGAAGGAGAUGAUAUUUUGCCAGCUCUAAGAUUGAGUUAUCAUAACCUCCCAGCACAUUUGAAACUAUGCUUUGUAUAUUGCUCUUUGUUUCCAAAAGGCUAUUCGUUUAGAAAGGAUGAAUUAGUUCUACUUUGGAUGGCAGAAGGAUUUGUUCCAUCUAAACAAGUAGAAAGAAUGGAAGGCAUAGGCAACCAGUACUUCGAUGAUUUGUUACAAAGAUCUUUCUUUCAAAAGGAAAAUACUCCUCAAUCGGUCCGAGAGACAUUUGUGAUGCAUGACCUCAUGCAUGAUUUAGCACAAUCAGUUUCAAGGGAGGUGUUCUGUAGAAUAGAGAGUGAUAAAUCAUGUGAAAUUAUGGAAAUGGCUCGCCACAUGUCGUUACUUAUUGAUGAUUUGGAUUCAACUAGUGAAGAGAUCUAUGGAUGUAAGAGGUUAUGCACAUUUUUACUAAAAAUUCUGAACCCUUCUGUUGAGUGUAUUCGUGGACAGAUCCCCUUUGAUUUAUUUGAACACUUUAGAUUCUUGCGUGUGCUGGAUUUGAGUUUUUGUAAUACCCUGAAGCUACCUGAAUCUAUAGGCAUGCUGAAGCAUUUGCGAUAUCUUGAUCUCAGUUGCACUUAUAUUAAGGAGUUACCUGAUUCAGUGUGUAACCUUUUCAAUUUGCAAACAUUGAUUCUUAACAAUUGCAGAUUUCUUCUUCGGUUGCCAAAGAACUUGGGAAACCUAAUCAGCCUCCAGCACAUCUUGAUGAACGUUGAAACGAAUGUGAUUGACAUUCCAGUCGGUAUUGGAAGACUAUGUUCACUUAAAACAUUGCCGCGUUUAUGGGUGGGUCAGAAGGAUGGUUUUAAGAUCGGUGAGCUUAAGGAGUUACGGAACCUUCAAGGAAGGCUUCAUAUUUUGGGACUGGAGAAUGUACCCAAUGUUUUUGAGGCCACGAAAGCCAAUAUGAAGAAUAAGGAGAAGCUUGACGAAAUAUACUUGCAAUGGGGUGAGGGAACUAGAGAUUUGAGAAAUGAGAGAGAUGUUGUAAUUCUUGAAGGCCUAGAACCUCAUACAGCACUAAAGCAUCUUCAGAUCGAAGGUUAUGAUGAUUUGAUAUUUCCGAAUUGGAUGAUGGAAAUGGGUGUUUACAAUAAGCUUGUUGCACUGUCUCUAUCUUCUUGUAAGAUAUGCAAGGUCCUUCCAACUCUUUGGCAACUCCCAUCACUAGAAUCCCUUCGUAUCAGUAGAAUGAAUGAAUUGAGUUGUCUAAGUCAUGAGUUCUAUGGAGACGACGUGAAAGAUGGUGGUAAGAAGGGAUUUCAAAAGUUGAAGCACCUAGAGUUGAAAAACAUGAGUAAUUUAGGAGAAUGGUGUGGAUCACUUGAAGGUGAAUUCCCUUGCCUUGAAAAACUUGUGAUUAAAGAAUGUCCAAAAAUAAGGAAACUGCCCCCAUUCCUUCCUACUCUCAAAGAGUUAGAAAUAAAGCACUGUGAUGCUUUAACUUCUCUUCCGAGGCUUCCAUUUAUCCAAGACCUAAUAUUAGCAAAUUGUGAUGAGAGGAUAUUGAAUUGUUUGCAACACUGCAGCUCCCUGACUUCUUUGCUUAUUUCUGAGUUUCAAAAUGCAAUUAAUUUGCCUCAAGCAAUGUUCCAUCCUCUAGCAUCGACACUUCAGAGGCUUGAGAUUGAUAAUUUUUCUAAGCUCUUGACAUUGGAAGAUGCUGGGUUAGAAGAACUGGUAUCUGUCCGGGAUUUAAUAAUCAGUGGAUGUAAUGGUCUCACAUCCUUGCCGAAGGGACUGCACAGGCUCAUCUCUCUUGAACGGCUAAGAAUUAGUUGUUGUAAUAGUCUCACAUCCUUGGCCAUUAAAAGCUUAACGAUACAUCUAUGUGAGAACUUCAGGUUCCUUCCCAGGGGACUGAAAGACCUAUACAACCUCCAAGAAUUAGCAAUCGAUGAUUGUGGGAAUAUCAAGUUCUUGCCAGACAUGGGGCUUCCCACCAGCCUUCGUCGUUUAACGAUUACUAGAUGCCCUGAUCUGAGUAUUCGGUGCCAAAAAGGUCGGGAAGACUGGCCUAAAAUAGCUCACGUACUUGACGUAAACAUCCAGCAUUAAUAAUCAGCAUAAAACAGAAAUCGAGAACAACUGAUGGAGUAUGUCCUGCUUUGAUGGUGAUUCCAUGGAUGGGGCUGGUUUGUUGUUCAAUAGUAGGUUCAAGGAAACUUCUGUUAUCAUGUCAAGCUUAGAAGCAAGGCUGGGGGCAGGUGGCAUAAAGGAGUCUUUCUAGUGAACCUGAGGUUGAUGGGUUUGGAUGCACUUUGAGCCUCUCUCCAUGGUUGAACUGAGUUUCUAUGGGUGGCGUUGAUCACAAAUAAGCAUCUUAGCCAAGAGACACUUCCCAAGGACCUUUCCCAAGGACCUUCUAGAAUGAUGAUGGAAGCUUUCCUGGCAGGGCUUAGGGUGUGGAUGUCCAGCCCACCAAUGUAUCGGUGGCAUGGGAGAAGGCAGCUGGGUUCCUGCCCAUGGUCUUGCUGGAAUCCUUCAAAUUCUACUCCACUUCCAAUUCUCUAGGGAAGAUUAUGAGGAUGUCAGGGCGCCUGUUAGGCAUAGGAUGAGGAACAGGUUCCCACACAGCGGCAAUUACCGAUUGAGUGAAGGGAAUCCAAGGGACAAAUUGAUGCAAUGGUCACAUGGUGCCAUUUGCACAGCCAUCAAUCUAUGCAAAGCAGCAUGGGUUAGCACCUCAAACAGUGCAAUUUAUAUCUGUAAAAUAAAUUAGGUGAAGAAACUAGGUGAUAUAGAUAGAGAAACCAUUUUGAUUGGCAGCAAUUUAAGAGUCAUAUUGCAGGAGCCCUGGUGUUGUGUUUGCAUAAUUUCUUAUCCUGUAGGUGUUAACUAUGGACAAUAUUGCUCAAGUGUCAUAAAGCAUCAAGUGAGUGUCUGUCAUAGGAUCAUAUAAUAUGUUAAAUUAACUAAAAGAGGUCAUUAACAAUGAACCUUUUUAUUUAGCUUUAUGCAGUGAAAGCAUAUCUAAGGAGUGGUAAGGUUAUAUAAACUGCUACAAUUUGAACAGGUCAGCCAGGGGGGACCGUUCAUCGACUCCAACCUGGGAGAUCUCAUGCACUAAGACAAAUUGCACUUUGAAUUGAUCUCUGUGAA